CGACGGGUAGGACCGGGUCGUUUGCCGCGACCUGUAACCGGUAUGGCAAUAACCGGGGUCAGUAACCGAGUUCGAGGAUGAACCGGGAAAUCGGUGAGUCCAGUCGCAGGACGUUGACGUGCGGUCUCUGGAGUCUGUCACAGCCACAGCAGCAUUCGUAGGCUUGCUGUAAGUGGCACAAACCGUCGAACCGGGCCAGGCCCUGGCGGGAGCAGUCCUAAGGCGGGGUGGUGGAGCCCCAGAGAGUGCCGCAUUGAGAAAUGCACUGAUCAGCCCACCGACGAACGACAUUCGAGAACGAGGGGCCGUCG
rnacentral:SRP_RNA from 1 species